GAUGAAGAACGUAGCGAAAUGCGAUACGUAAUGUGAAUUGCAGAAUUCAGUGAAUCAUCGAGUCUUUGAACGCACAUUGCGCCCCCUGGUAUUCCGGGGGGCAUGCCUGUCCGAGCGUCAUUGCUGCCCUCAAGCACGGCUUGUGUGUUGGGCCUCCGUCCUCCUCCCGGGGGACGGGCCCGAAGGGCAGCGGCGGCACCGCGUCCGGUCCUCGAGCGUAUGGGGCUUCGUCACCCGCUCUUGUAGGCCCGGUCGGCGCUUGCCGACACAUCAAUCUUUUUUCCAGGUUGACCUCGGAUCAGGUAGGGAUACCCGCUGAACUUAAGCAUAUCAAUAAGCGGAGGA
rnacentral:misc_RNA from 1 species